UUUAUGGGGACUUUUUGGGGGGUGGGGGUGGGGAGGGCUCUGUUCCAGACAUGACUCCCGGGUAUACCAUGUGGUGUGGUCUGUGAAUUUCCUCCCCAUACCUGUUAU
ensembl:misc_RNA Gm27940 predicted gene, 27940